AUGAUUCAGAACUGGACUACGACGAUUCUAUUUUGUAUCGGUUGGUUUGUUCAUUUUGGCCGGCGUGCACUUGGCUUGGUAGGGUUACAUCAGCAGAGAGUACACAGGAGGAUUUAUUUAACUGUACUAAACAGUGGAGUUAGCAUAAAAAUAUUCAGGUCAUUGUUAUUUAAAUCAUGUGCGGCUGCCUGUUUCUCACAUGUUGUGCAUCGUCAGAGAUAUUGUUCAGGAACAGUAACUAGAUUAUCCAGGAUCAUGGGCCACUUCCAUAGCCUGGUUCUAGCUAGGCGCAUAUGUUCUCAAAAUUCAGAUAGCUAUACACUCUAUCUUGUGGAACUGUGCUUGUUUGCAAGUAAUCUUUGUCAAAAAUUAAACAGUAAAGUACAUGUUGAAGAUGUGGCAAAUGGGAGUCCACAUAAUUCGUUUCAAGUCCAUGUUCAAGGGAGAGUGAUUGUUUGA
rnacentral:rRNA from 1 species